CGUAGGGGGCAAGCGUUGUCCGGAAUCAUUGGGCGUAAAGCGCGUGUAGGCGGCCAGGUAAGUCCGUUCUGAAAGCCCGGGGCUCAACCCCGGGAGGCGGAUGGAUACUGCUUGGCUCGAGUCCGGAAGAGGCGAGUGGAAUUCCCGGUGUAGCGGUGAAAUGCGCAGAUAUCGGGAGGAACACCAAUGGCGAAGGCAGCUCGCUGGGACGGUACUGACGCUGAGACGCGAAAGCGUGGGGAGCAAACAGGAUUAGAUACCCUGGUAGUCCACGCUGUAAACGAUGGUCACUAGGUGUGGGGGGUGUCGACUCCCUCCGUGCCGAAGCUAACGCAUUAAGUGACCCGCCUGGGGAGUACGGCCGCAAGGCUA
rnacentral:rRNA from 1 species